GACGAACGCUGGCGGCGUGCUUAACACAUGCAAGUCGAACGGAAAGGCCCUGCUUUUGUGGGGUGCUCGUGUGGCGCACGGGUGUGUAACACGCGAGUAACCUGCCCCUGUCUUUGGGAUAUCUUUAGGAAAAUCGGGCUAAUAUAGGGUAGGAUAUCUUGCUGCGUAUUGGUGAUUGGUAAGUUUCGGCGGUUGGGGAUGGACUCGCGGCUUAUCCGCUUCUUGGGGGGGUAGUGGCUUACCAAGCCUUUGACGGGUAGCCGGCCUGAGAGGGUGACCGGCCACAAUGGGACUGAGAUACGGACCAGACUGCUACGGGAGGCAGCAGGGGGGAGUAUUGCACAAUGGGCGGAAGCCUGAGGCGGCAACGCCGCGUGCGGGAUGACGGCCUACGGGUUGUAAACCGCUUUCGCCUGUGACGAAGCGUGAGUGACGGUAAUGGGUAAAGAAGCACCGGCUAACUACGUG
rnacentral:rRNA from 1 species